rnacentral:rRNA from 1 species
UUAUAAGGUCAAGUUAGUAAGGGCAUACGGUGGAUGCCUAGGCGCUGAGAGGCGAAGAAGGGCGCGGAUAACUGCGAAAAGCCACGGUGAGCCGUAAGCAGGCAUUGACCCGUGGAUACCCGAAUGGGGCAACCCGUCCGGAGUCAUAUCCGGACAUCGCUGACUGAAUCCAUAGGUCAGUGAAGCCAACCCGGGGAACUGAAACAUCUAAGUACCCGGAGGAAAAGAAAUCAACUGAGAUUCCCCCAGUAGCGGCGAGCGAACGGGGAAAAGCCUAAACCGUCUCUUCGGAGGCGGGGUUGCGGGACCUUCAUCA